UACAGGGGGGGCAAGCGUUGUUCGGAAUUACUGGGCGUAAAGGGUCUGUAGGUGGCCAACUAAGUCAGACGUGAAAUCCCUCAGCUUAACUGGGGAACUGCGUCUGAUACUGGAUGGCUUGAGUGCAGGAGAGGAAUGCGGAAUUCCAGGUGUAGCGGUGAAAUGCGUAGAUAUCAGGAGGAACACCGGUGGCGAAGGCGGGUCUCUGGGCAGUAACUGACGCUGAGGAGCGAAAGCGUGGGGAGCGAACAGG
rnacentral:rRNA from 1 species